AGUAGCUGCGUCUCAAUUGGUCGCCGUCACUUCACCUCAGCUGAAUCCGGCAGAUUAGCCACUGAUCUCGGCAUAUUCAUCGUAUUUUUGUUCUGUUUUAUGUGGCUUUACACAGUCAGCUGCCUUUGGACUUAUUUCUUACAAUUAUCAGAUAAUAUGGGAUGCUGUGUGCAUUUAAUUGUGCUCACAAACCAUUCACGUGGCCUCGUUUCCCAUAGCCUCUGAAGUUAUAAGAGAAACAUGCUAAAUGUGCAGUGGUGAAUUAUGGCUCAAGAGGACUGGAAUUGAGAACCAAUGGUUUAGUGUGUCUCAAGCCUUGACAAUGGGCUGAGAGAAAAGCAGACCUGUACUUCAACAUCAAAUCCAGUGUGUGGACCUCUGACAGAUCAUGACUGUGAAAAGGCAAUGAAACACUCAACCUGCUCACCUGGACAAUACAUCAACCAAACU